rnacentral:rRNA from 1 species
AGAGCGAACGCUGGCGGCAGGCCUAACACAUGCAAGUCGAGCGCCCGUAGCAAUACGGGAGCGGCAGACGGGAUAGUAACACGUGGGAACGCGCCCUUCGGUUCGGAAUAACUCAGGGAAACUUGAGCUAAUACCGGAUACGCCCUUACGGGGAAAGAUUUAUUGCCGAAGGAACGGCCCGCGUCCGAUUAGCUAGUUGGUGAGGUAAUGGCUCACCAAGGCGACGAUCGGUAGCUGGUCUGAGAGGAUGACCAGCAUCACUGGGACUGAGACACGGCCCAAACUCCUACGGGAGGCAGCAGUGGGGAAUAUUGGACAAUGGGCGCAAGCCUGAUCCAGCCAUGCCGCGUGAGUGAUGAAGGCCUUAGGGUUGUAAAGCUCUUUCGCCGAGGACGAUAAUGACGGUACUCGGAUAAGAAGCCCGGCUAACUUCGUGCCAGCAGCCGC